rnacentral:rRNA from 1 species
GACGAACGCUGGCGGCGUGCCUAAUACAUGCAAGUAGAACGCUGAAGGAGGAGCUUGCUUCUCUGGAUGAGUUGCGAACGGGUGAGUAACGCGUAGGUAACCUGCCUGGUAGCGGGGGAUAACUAUUGGAAACGAUAGCUAAUACCGCAUAAUAGUAGAUGUUGCAUGACAUUUGCUUGAAAGGUGCAAUUGCAUCACUACCAGAUGGACCUGCGUUGUAUUAGCUAGUUGGUGAGGUAACGGCUCACCAAGGCAACGAUACAUAGCCGACCUGAGAGGGUGAUCGGCCACACUGGGACUGAGACACGGCCCAGACUCCUACGGGAGGCAGCAGUAGGGAAUCUUCGGCAAUGGACGGAAGUCUGACCGAGCAACGCCGCGUGAGUGAAGAAGGUUUUCGGAUCGUAAAGCUCUGUUGUAAGAGAAGAAACGAGUGUGAGAAGUGGAAAGUUUCA